CCUCUUUUAUGUGCUUUCAAGAACUUCAUUUAAAUUUUCAGGCGUUUUUCUUGACCAUUGAUUAUGGACUUAUUAAAUGUGUAGCCAGAUUCAAUUUUAGGCCGCAUAAUUACUGCUUAGGACUUUUUGUUUGUAUAGAAUGCCAGUGUUUUGGAGACCAGGAGGGCCUAAGAAGUUUAUCUAAAACUGAAAAAGGAGAUUCAGAUCAACUGAUGAAUGAACAACAAACUAAUGGAAAUUUGGCAAAAAGCAUUUUACAUGGUACCGUUAAAGUAUUUGGUUUUUUUGCCAAUCUUGCUAAUCAAUCUGCUGGGCUCCCAUGAUGUAUUUGUUUCAUCAGCUUUUAAUUCUUGUGAUUAACAAUAUUUCACAAUAUUUUUACAUUUUUAUUGUUCUUUCACACUGAGCGAAACUUGUUGUGAUAUAUACAGAUAAAAUUUAUUUUUGUUUCCUGGGAAUAUUUCUUCCUUUGUUAUUACUAAUAUUUUUGUUUAUAACAUAAAACAUGCCAUUCUGUAGGUAUUUCGUUUCACAUACAAUGUUAAUUGUAUUAUUGAGUUUUGAAUUUUUUGUGUGUGCAUAGAAAAACUGGUUACUGUGGGUUUUAUUAUAUAUAGAUGUGUAUAAACAGUGCAGAUGUCGCUUAUUAUUUUGAUAUUAUAUGGUCUGUGAUUAUUUAAACAGAAUAAAGUAUGCAGGCCAUUUUUGUUGUCUAUCUGAUGCACUAUAGAAUAAUGUACCUGAAUACUGUAUACAUUGUGCAUUAGAAUUUUCGUAUAAAGAUGCCAGUGUAAAUCUGAGAAAUAUAUCUAUGUGUGCGCUUGUAUAAAAAUACAGAAAAUAUUAUUUGUGUUGGUUAAUUAAGCCAAAAUAUAUAAUUGCAUAAAAAAGAUCAGUAUAUGCAUUUAAGUUAUUAUGUAUUGAAUUAUUAUUGAGCAUUGAAGAGGUUUUUAGGCGUACUGAUUCUGUUUCUUUCAAAGUAUGGUGUUCCAAAGAAUAUUUUUUUCCUCUCCCGCUAUGGUAUUUCCUACAUGAUUCAUAGAAAAUGUUUAUACUUUUUAAAAAAAUCCAUAUUUAUUUGUUAUUAAAUUGUAGGUUUGUAAUAUAGUUGUAAGCAGGCAAUAUGAAUGAAAAUUUUGGGAGAUAUCUUUAAGUAUUUUACUUAAUUUAGGCAUAAAAUAUGUUAUUUUUUAUGGACCUAACUUACUAGAAAGAUAAUUGAUUUUUAAUAUUUGAUCUAGGGUUUUUUUAUUACAUGAAUAACUCAAAUAUUUGGCAUACUGUAUGAGUGCAAGAAGUAUAUAUUUUGUAAAUUACUGGAACAUACAAAUUACAGGUUUAAUAUGUUAAAUCUGAUCAAUCAAAUCUGUAAGUUUUAAAAAUACUUAAUAAUCUACAUGAGUGAACUUAGAAUAAUCUUUUUUCCCCUGAUUUGGAAAUUACUAAGCAUUGAGAAAAAAAAAAGUACGAGUAAGCUUGAAAGUAGAAAUUGUGCAUGUUUCUGAAAGCUCACCAAUAAGCGUGAUGAGUGACAUUUGCUAUAUCAAAGGAAAGUUGAUUAAAAUGACUAAGUAUUUGUAAAGCCGUGUUUUUUAAUUUGUAUACAUUGGUGUCAUUAUUUCACAAGUAUAUAAAUUUUCAAAGCCUUAAAAGUUUCAUAUUUAUAAUGCUAACUGUUGUAAUUUUUUUCACAUCUUUUAGUUGUAAUGUUGGCAUGGAUUUUGUUCUGAUUUCAUGAUAGAUUGCAUCAUUAUAAAAUGAGAAAAUUCCAACCAUAAAAUGAAGAAUUUCCACUGAAGAAUAUAAUUUUUUAGAAAAUGUGUGGAUUUGACGAAUAAGCGAAAUCAAAACUGAACAGCCAGGCAUUUCAUAAGUGAAAUAAAUGCUUAUUUUGGUCUUAAAAGAAACAGUAUAUUUAUUUUUGCAAUUUUCAUUCUUUUUUGAAACGUUUCUUAUUUUUUACAUAAAAAUAUAACAAACUUUUAAGAAAUAAAACUUACACAACGCUCAUCAAGGAACACUCCAAGUAACAUUGACUCGUUGCCACACGGCGAAUCUUAAUAAUUUUAUAGAAGCAUUAAAUUAUGUUCCACUGCAGAUGCACAAGCAUAAUUGUUUAGAAAAGACACAAGCAUUAAAACUUCCUACAUGACUUAAAAUAUCAAAAUAAAUAUGUUCCAUGUGUUAAUUACAGAUCUCAACCAAGUACCUAAAAUUUUUAUAAACUUUCUCAGGCAAUUUUUUAAUAUUUAAUUGAUAUAAUUUAAAAAAGUGCAUAAGAAAUUUUAAUAAUAUCUUGAGAAUUUUAAAGUGAAUGUUUAUACUUUUCUUAAAUCUUAGCAGAGAAGUUGUCUGUAUUAAGUAAAGAACUGCAUAAAUUAUUUAUUUUGUAGACAUUUUUUUUUUAAAAAUAAUUUUGAGUGAAAUGGAAAACUGCAAAAUUGUAUUGGUGGAACAAAAUCCAUGACUGAGGUGGGGCUCAAAUGUUAUCCAUUGUUUCAGAUAUCUAUUUACUGAUAUGAAGUACGAAGAGGGCAAAAAAGAAGCAAUUUUUAAGGAAGAGUGCUUUAUAGGUUUUUUUUUUUUUUUUUUAAAUCUAAAUUGUAAUAUUUUCAGAACAUUCUUUGUUUCUUUUUAUGUAUUAAAAGUGAAGUGUAUUACAUCGAAUUUCCCAGAUUAUUCAUUGUUUUGUUUUGGAAAAGGAUUUUUUCUAAGGAAAUUUGUGCUGUUUUUUACAUUAUGAAGUCAUUUUUAAAAGUUGACAUCUGAUUUUCUUCUUUAAUAUUAUUUGUGUGGGAAAUUCUAUUAUUAUUAAAAACAGUAAUAAACAUUUUGAAAGGGCAUAACUUUAGGAACAUUUAAAUUUUGCCAAGUGUUCUGAUUGUAUAUAAGUAUUGUUUAUGGUGCAUAAUUUGUAGCAAUUUAAUAUUGUUUUAGGAAUUUUUUUCCCUUGUAUAUUUUGAUAUGAAUUAUUAGAACUUUUGAAGAUAUCCUGCAGUUUAAGAAAGAAAAAUACUGUAUAGGUUUGAUAGAAAAAAAAGUGUUAUUGGAGUUACUGUUAAAAGAAUGAUAUACACAUGUUUGAUCAUUUAAGAUGUGUACAAUAAAAGAAAGAUUCUCUAUAAUAUUUUUAGGAACGUCUUGUAUCAAAUUCAGUUUUAUCAUUAAAAUAUGUUAAACGUUA